CACGGGUGAGUAACGCGUGGGUAACCUACCUCCGGCGGGGGAUAACUAUCCGAAAGGGUGGGCUAAUACCGCAUGAGACCACGAGCCUCCGGGCUUGAGGCCAAAGGUGCCGCAAGGUGCCACCUGGAGAUGGGCCCGCGUACGAUUAGCUAGUUGGUGGGGUAACGGCCUACCAAGGCUGCGAUCGUUAGCUGGUCUGAGAGGAUGAUCAGCCACACUGGAACUGGAACACGGUCCAGACUCCUACGGGAGCAGCAGUGAGGAAUAUUGCGCAAUGGGGGAAACCCUGACGCAGCAACGCCGCGUGGGUGAAGAAGGCCUUCGGGUCGUAAAGCCCUUUCGGACGGGACGAACGUCGGCCGGGGAUAAUCCGGUCGGCCUGACGGUACCGUAAGAAGAAGCACCGGCUAACUCCGUGCCAGCAGCCGCGGUAA
rnacentral:rRNA from 1 species